rnacentral:rRNA from 1 species
GACGAACGCUGGCGGCGUGCCUAAUACAUGCAAGUAGGACGCAGUUGCGAACGGGUGAGUAACGCGUAGGUAACUGCCUAUUAGAGGGGGAUAACUAUUGGAAACGAUAGCUGAUACCGCAUACUAGGAGAUGGACCUGCGUUGUAUUAGCUAGUAGGUAGGGUAAUGGCCUACCUAGGCGACGCUACAUAGCCGACCUGAGAGGUGCAUCGGCCACACUGAGACUGAGACACGGCCCAGACUCCUACGGGAGGCAGCAGUAGGGAAUCUUCGGCAAUGGGGGGAACCCUGACCGAGCAACGCAGCGUGAGUGAAGAGGGUUUUCUGAUCGUAAAGCUCUGUUGUUAAGAAAGCGGUACUUAACCAGAAAGGGACGGCUAACUACGUGCCAGCGGCCGCGGUAAUAC